UGGUGCGCGCGCGCGUGUGUGUGUGUGUGUAUGUGUGGGGAUCUUCAUACGGGGACUGCUGUGGCUGGUCGCAGGAAGCUCGCCGGCUCUCCGCCUGCUUACCAGGAACGCCGCGGCGGCUGCUGUAAUCGCACAUCCGCUUAACUAACAACCACAAACUAAAAACUCUCACACUCUCUCUGCGCAAACGCACAGCGCUGCCGGACCGCUCGCCGCACUUCUGCGCGGCGAGCCGCGAGGAGCUGGAGGACCGCUGCUAAGAGAGCUUUCCCCGUCACAAAGAUGUUUUUCUUAGUCGCUUCAGCAGACAGGAAUCCACUGGCAAGACGAAAGCCUCGGUCCUCCCCAUGAGAGAGGAGUACAAAGCCCCCGGUCUGCGCGCGGCAGAUGCGGGGAAAGCCGGUCCAUCUGCCACCAGCUUGCAGAGCCACAUGGGAGAUUUUCAUACGAGGAAUAUUUUCUUGUUUUAAUCCACAAUUUUCAGUGUAACCAGAUAAGUCGUUUUGGUGUUUUUUCAUUAAAAUAUUAACCCCUGGAAAGUGUUUCAUUGUAGCUUGAAAAACCUUUAGGAACUUGUAAGAAAACGGUGGAGAACUUUGAUUUAUUUGGAGAUGGUGGAGCUCCCCCUCACACGGGGGGCUAAAGACCACUUGAACCGGUGGCAGCGGCGGUGAUUUAACAGGCUGUGAAUAGCACAUUAUCUCCCCCCGACCCAGCGAAGGCAUUUUUUUCUUCUUUCAGCCGCGUGAUAUCAUCAUUAAGACGAGCAAAAAGACGUCGCGUUUUCAUUAGUGUCAACUAAAGCUAGUGGGUUGUGUGUGUGGGGGGGUAAACACUAAACAAGAAUGACAAAGUGAGAAAGACAAUGGGAGUUGAUGCUAGUUAGAAAAAAAAGAGGGGAGAUAAUAGGAUGUAGGAGGGGGACGGUGCUGGGGAAAGUCAAAAGGGGGCUAGCAUCAGACGCUGACUGCUAAUUGCUCUUAGCACCAACAUUAUGGUUGUUGGUUUUUUUUUUCUUUUCCCCUCUCCUUUAAGACUUUAGGAGCUUCAGCGACUCAGAGAGUCUUGAAAAAGACAAACAAGAAACAUCCGCCUCUGGAAAAGGGAAACGAUUCCACAUCUGGGACAAUUGUGCUCCCCCCACACCUCCACCCUGAGGGUUUGCUCCCUUCACCUCUCCUUCGGCGCUGCCAGGGCUUUCUCUGCUGCCAAGGUCAACAGAGACAGGCAGGCCCACCAGCGUCUUGAUGAGGUGGCAGCAGGGCCGUGGGGGGGGGGGGUGCAGCGGGGAGAGGUGACGGUGGCAGCAGCUGAUUACAACAGUGGCAAGAGCAGCAGCUGACGGAGGGGAGGGGGUGGACCGGGGAUGAGCGGCGUGGCGGCGGGCGACGCGCGUCAUCCCAACAGCUCCGCUGCAAUUUACGGCGCUUAACAAACGCUAACGAGAGGGUUAGCGUGAGUGUUACACAAAGUCACAGUCACUGUUGUAUGUCAGUCACACAAUCACGUGACCCACCCAUCAAUAACCCUCCAACAGAAGCCAUCAGAAAAGAAAAUUGGUGAAUAGGAAAAGCUAUGGAAAAAAAAACACGCACAAAAAUACACUUUUCCAGUUCUGCCAAGUGUUUCAACUCUGUAAACAUUAAAAGUGUCAAAAACCCUCAAAUAAAAGCCCCAAAACUACAAAAUAAGACCCUUGUGACACCAGAAAUGUCGCAGCCGACACUUCGAUCUACUGUUAUUCUUCGAACGUUUAAGCAAUCAGUGUGAAUCCUCUGAUGCGGAUAAGUGUUUAUUAUUUACAAAGCUGCUUUUCUCCACUUAUGGUUUUCCCUGUAAGAGUUACCGUUGUCAGAAGAAUGGAAACACUGGAGCUAAACCAAAAUCAGCAUUGUUGUGCAUAUGUUGUCACUCCAUUGUUGCACAAGCCAGCGCACAAAGUCCAGCGCAUAAAUAAGUAGGAGCCAAAUUAGGAAUAAUGAAGGAGAACCUUUAAUUUAAUCCUGGGCGAAGUUGAUGACACGUUAUGCUGCAGAUGGUCUUAGAGCACAAGCCAUUAUGAACCAGGGGUUAUGUAAGUGGUUGAAAGGCAGCACCGUUUUAAUAUACUGUACUUAAGCACCAGGGGUAUCCAUGGCAACUUGCCCUGCACGGUGCAUUCAGCAACCCUUAGUGAAAUGUUUAUUAAGUGGACGAUAAUUUAAAACAAAAGCAGGUAGAUAAAUAAAUCUGGAAGGAGAAAAUAAAUAAACGAAAGCUGCCCUAUCAUUUAUUUUUAUAAAAAUAGUAGAAAUAAGACAGAAAAGAUCAAAAGAUAUUGGGUAGUGAUAGUGGAAUGAGUCACUGUGGGUGUGAAGUGGCCCUUCCUGUGCGAGUGUGCACAUGUGACUUCCAUUUGGGACUUUGGCUGAGCUCCCAACAGGACAUCCCUGAGAGUGUUUACUUGACUCAAUAUCAACAGUUGGGGGGGGCAGCACUUUGGCCACGGGUUCCUAUUGAAAAUAAACCGGACUGCGCGUAUGCUGGACCCAGAAACGUCAACACACGCCACAUAGAGCCACAUAUUGCACUCAGCAGGGUCCCACCAGUGCCUCUCAAAGCUUUUAACAGUACCUUUGCCCCCCCCACCAGUAAAUGGCAACAACCAUUAGAGGGCACUGUAGGUGAUGUAUUGGUAUGUGGUACUGAAAGCAACGCAGAAGAAGAGGUGCUGCUCAGUCAUACGCCGGGCUUGGUGGAGUUAAUGCAAAACGACAGAUGAUAAGGUGAUUUAAAGUGAUGAGGAGUUUUCUUGACUUGCUAUGUUUAUCUUAAUUAUUUGUUCUUUUGCUGUGCCUUUUAGGAUGAAAUGUCCAUCCUUGUUCUUGUAUUUUGUCAAAUAAAUUUCUCCCAAAAGUAGGACUUGUACUCUUUUUUUUUUUGCAUAAUUUCUCUCUUCUUUGUCAAGCAUUUUUUGGCUCUUGCAACAUCAGAGCGACUUACAAAAUACGGUACCUUUCAGGUAGGCAGAAAAAUAAAAGCGAUAGGAAAAUCACAGAAGCCGUCCACUGACUUGGCCUCUUGAAAGGAAGGCGCUGGUAAACUAGCGACAGGCACUCCAGGUUAAAUUGGCACUCCUCUCGCCGCCUCUUAACUACCACCACCACCACCAUUCGCAGCUGAACUCCACCCCUCCCAAAAAAGAGAUGCCUUUUCUUCAAAAGCCUGUUUGAAUUAGGUGAGUUGCUGAAAUCAAAGGCUCGGUUGAGAUGGAGAAAUUUAAACAAGCAAGUGCUGCUCACAGCAGUUUACCUGUUAUAUGGAAGAUUGAAUUUAGAUGAAAGGGUGGAGGCGAAGAAACUCCCCCUGUUUUUCUUUUUUUACAGAUAUCAUCAUAUAGUAAAGACAGCUGUGCUUUAAUUAAAUUCCUGCACGGAGAAAGGAGCAUGUUCCUUGUUGAUAUUUUCUUUCGACGCCCCUUCGCCGCUAAGAUAUCAUCAGGAUAAAAUAGCAGCUCAAAAGAAUGUGAGAUUUAAUAGCUGCAUGCUUUCUGAUUUCCUGUUAGGGAUCCAUUUGACACCCAUUUAUGACAGUGAUCUGUCAUGUCUGAGGAGCUCGCUGCUCCAGCUCUGCCAAAGAGAUUAUCAUUCCCAGAACCGCAGCCUCGCGCUUCAACGGCAGCGAGACAAGCUCCACUGGCAGUCAAAAGAGCACAACACCUGUAUGUGCUUUCACCGCCACCCAACACCCCAAGAUCGCUGCCAGAGCCUUUACAGGUAGACAUGAAAAAUACUUUGAUGCCGGAUGGAACCGCAAACAAUAUUGGCAAACUGCUGUAACAAGGAAAGUUUACGGGGAAACUCUCCAGGAUUAGCGGAGAUGCUGAACUCCUGGAACGUGGAUCUGCUCUGAGUCCUUGGGGCUUGUUGACACAACGACAUCCAUUCACGACUAAAACACUGUUCAGCUAAUACAAAUGACCUGGGAAAAUUAAUUCUGAAAUAUUGCAUCUGAGCAAAGAAAAUAAUCUCGUUACAUGAAGAAGUCCAGCUAUUCCAACGACUAAUUCAAACCUAAUUUUUGCUCGGCGCUAAUUUAAGGGUGAAGGGUGGAGGAUAGGAAUUAUAUCUGGAAGUAAUUGAACGUGUGGAACUGAGCCCAGAGGAGCGCGCUCUACCCCCUUCCCAUCAAAAAAGAGGAGUGACAUGGAGGAAGAAGUCUUUGUUGUUUGGGACUUCCAAAGAAGUCAACGUCUUCAUUGUGCCGUCAUGGGAACAGAGAUGUACAUAGGACGUAUAGACCUCAGAGAGGUAUUGAUGAAGGUCACAGAAAAGCUUUUCAUGCACCUGUAUCGGGGGGGUGAGCUGUACAGGUGCUGCGGGUGUUUGGGUUGCCCGGGCCUGCAAAGGGUCGUAGAAAGAAGCUGCCACAUCUUAAGGGGAGCACAGGUGUGUCUUGCAGUUAAGGCUCUUACAACCACCUCAAGGGACAUCAUGAAAAUGGCAUGCAAAAUUGUAAUGUCUGGGGUAAGUGUAUCAUUAUUUGUAAGACUACUAAAAAGUUGCACACACGUCAUUUGGGUGAUGCUGUCACAUGGUUUCUCUAGGCCAAAGGUCACCAACCUUUUUGAGACUGAGGGCUAUUUCAUGGGCACUAAGUGGUAUGAAGAACGCCACAGGACCUGUUUGCUAACCCUAUUUUUAUUUGCUCAUUUUACACAAAAAAAAAAAAAA